ensembl:lncRNA
GGGGAAGGAAGGAGGAAACACACACACACACACAGCUCAUCUGCAUGAACAGCAGUGGAUGACAGGCAGGAGACUUUGCUUCCACCAUCUCAUUUUAGACAUGUGCAACAGUUUCCACAGGGAAAAAAAUUAAAGUAAUUGUUUGAUAACAUUUUCAAAAAGGUAUUCCACAAUAACAAUUUCAUGGUGCAUUGCAGAGUAUAAUUAUAAUUCCACCGUUUUUUCUUUUACUUGGACAGCCCAGGAACACUGGGGGUCAAGUAAAGUAUCCUAGUCAAAUUCUCCUCUCAUUAGUGCAAUCGCUUCUGUCUGCUAAUUAUUCCCUCCUUCUCCCUCCCUCCCUCUCUCUCUCCCUCUCUCUCUCUCUCUCUCUCUCUUUCUCUCUGGAUUAUCCCGAGCAACAUGCAACAUCGUGGCCCCGAAUGCGGAGCGGAUAAGCUGUGAAGGAAAGGAGAGAGGGAAUGUAUUCAUCGGCAGUACUGCCUUCUGGAGCAGCUCACGCUGUGGCAAACUGUGCCGCUUUUCACACGCC